CCACUGGAUGGCUGAUUCAUCAAUACGGAGAUCUGACCCUUUGACUUGACCAAUGGUGGCCAGUUUGAGGGAGCCCUUGUUUGUGGGCCACCAGUUCACCAGGUCGUAGGCUGCAGGGAUAUCAGCGCCCCGGAAGUAGAACUCGUCCCCGAGAGGAGAGGGCGGCAACCAAACUCCAUCUCCCAGAGUUCCCUGAGGAUCCAAUCUUCAGGAUGCUGUGAUGGAUGCAGACCCCUCAGCUCCAGGAGAAGGGCUCUGGCGUCAGUGUACCAGGCAAACACCAGGAUGACGCGAGCAGAGGAGGCCUGGAUGGUACCAGCAGCCCGCUCCAUGUCCCUCGCCAGAGUCGCCCUGGUGAAGGUCUCGAAGAACGCCAGACACACCCCUGUCCCUCGGACCUCCUCCUGGAACACCUGGAGCAUGCCAGUGGAGGUUUGACAGACGGAUACGAGACAGACCUGAAUGCCUAGACGUCCGUAGUCAUUGUCCACAGCGACGGCCCCGACCCAGGACCAGCUGAAGCGCCGAGCGAGCCGGGCCAUGGUCCGGGCCUGGUACACGUCACUGGGGAUGGUUCUGAAGAAGUUGGGGUACCGACGUCUGUCGCUGAGACAGGGGCAGCUGGCCUGGUACAGAGAGAGGCCCCAGAGUGCUGGAGAGGAUCAUACUCUGGGUGGACGAGGCGUCGCCGAUGACCAGAGAAACAGAGUCUCCAGGGCGCCCAUCUAGAGAGGAGUCAAAUCAAAUUAAACCUUAUUUUUACAGCCCUUUUUACAAGCAAUGUCACAGAGGAGGACUUCACAUACUAUUUCAAUUGAAUUCCAUCUAAAACUCAAGGAAAGACAAGGAAAAACUUUAUUGUCUGGUUGCCUUCUGCCUUGCUCCAUGGUAGCUUCCUAGACAAGCUUAUAUUUGCUGUGCAUGAUAGCGAGGAAUUUUUUUAAAGGCGCGCAAUGACAACAAAUGAUAUUGAUCAUGGCACCAAGUACAGAUUAAAACUAAAGUAACAAGCCUGGUUUGAAAUGUAAAAAGUAGAAAUUACAGAUAUUUGUCAUAUUUAUGUUUCAAUAAAUUGAAAACGGAGGCUUUGUCUGUUACUAUGGUAACUCAUUUUAGAGCCAGCGCAUUAAUUUAGAAUGGUGAACAGACACUUGAACUACUUAGUAGACCGUGUCCAUUAUCAUAAAAUAAUGGACACCGUGCAGCCAAUCAGAAUCGAGUAUUCACCCAGACCAUGGUGUAACACCUAAUAACCCAUGGGCUGUGCAGGUGUGCUAUGACCGCAGAACAACCCAUGGGUUAUUUGGAGAUACACCACACCCUCUCCUGGUUAAUUGUUUUAAUACUCUUUAGGUACUUUCAACACACAGGAUAAGCAAGAUCAACAUGUUUUAGUGUCACACUUCAAAAACAAUCUGUAUAUCUUCAAUAAUUAUCAACAGCUCUUCGAUCUUCACAAUGACUGGACGUGUUUUCAAGAAAAAAAGGUUGUCUACUCUCUCAUUAUACAACACAUCGAAAGACUGGCGACAAGCUUUUCCAAUCAAUUCUGUACCUGCAGGUUUUCCAGCAGCUCCUGGAAGCGGCGAAGAGAGUUCACACUGCGGGCUCCCCCCUGCCACCAGAGACAGCGCCCCCCGGAGGCACCACGGGUGCAUGCCACAGCUGUCUAGGAUACGGUAGCCCAGACGCAGCCCCGGUAAGAGGAAGGGAUCCCGAUUAAUCUCAUCUACCGCAAACACCAUGGCGUGUGCCCAUUUCAGCGGUUGCGCCUGGAAACUGAAACCAUGGGUGCAACAACACGGACAGAAAAAAGUGACG